rnacentral:rRNA from 1 species
CCUACGGGGGGCAGCAGUGGGGAAUAUUGGACAAUGGGGGGAACCCUGAUCCAGCCAUGCCGCGUGUGUGAAGAAGGCCCUCGGGUUGUAAAGCACUUUCAGUGAGGAAGAACGCCUGGUGGUUAAUACCCAUCAGGAAAGACAUCACUCACAGAAGAAGCACCGGCUAACUCCGUGCCAGCAGCCGCGGUAAUACGGAGGGUGCGAGCGUUAAUCGGAAUUACUGGGCGUAAAGCGCGCGUAGGUGGCUUGAUAAGCCGGUUGUGAAAGCCCCGGGCUCAACCUGGGAACGGCAUCCGGAACUGUCAAGCUAGAGUGCAGGAGAGGAAGGUAGAAUUCCCGGUGUAGCGGUGAAAUGCGUAGAGAUCGGGAGGAAUACCAGUGGCGAAGGCGGCCUUCUGGACUGACACUGACACUGAGGUGCGAAAGCGUGGGUAGCAAACAGGAUUAGAUACCCCUGUAGUU